rnacentral:rRNA from 1 species
ACGCUAGCGGCAGGCCUAACACAUGCAAGUCGAACGAUAUUAUCCAGCUUGCUGGAUAUGAAAGUGGCGCACGGGUGCGUAACGCGUAUGCAACCUACCUUAAUCAGGGGGAUAGCCCGAAGAAAUUCGGAUUAAGACCACAUAAAAACACAGGAUAGCAUUAUCCAAUGUUCAAAUAUUUAUAGGAUUAAGAUGGGCAUGCGUGACAUUAGUUAGUUGGCGGGGUAACGGCCCCACCAAGACCACGAUGUCUAGGGGAUCUGAGAGGAUGACCCCCCACACUGGUACUGAGACACGGACCAGACUCCUACGGGAGGCAGCAGUAAGGAAUAUUGGUCAAUGGAGGGAACUCUGAACCAGCCAUGCCGCGUGCAGGAUGACGGCCCUCUGGGUUGUAAACUGCUUUUAUUCGGGAAUAAACCUACUUACGUGUAAGUAGCUGAAUGUACCGAAGGAAUAAGGAUCGGCUAACUCCGUGCCAGCAGCCGCGGUAAUACGGAGGAUCCAAGCGUUAUCCGGAUUUAUUGGGUUUAAAGGGUGCGUAGGCGGCUUUUUAAGUCAGGGGUGAGAGACGGUAGCUCAACUAUCGCAGUGCCCUUGAUACUGAAGAGCUUGAAUGAACUAGAGGUAGGCGGAAUGUGACAAGUAGCGGUGAAAUGCAUAGAUAUGUCACAGAACACCGAUUGCGAAGGCAGCUUACUAUGGUUUAAUUGGCGCUGAGGCACGAAAGCGUGGGGAUCAAAC